UCAUCUGUGUCUGGUGCUAGCUAGUUACGGGCUAGCUAGGUCUUCAUCUGUGUCUGGUGUUAGCUAGGUCUUCAUCUGCGUCUGGUGCUAGCUAGUUACGGGCUAGCUAGGUCUUCAUCU